GACAGAGGGUGCAAACGUUGUUCGGAAUUACUGGGCGUAAAGCGUGUGUAGGCGGCUAUGUAAGUCGGAUGUGAAAGCCCUGGGCUCAACCCAGGAAGUGCACUCGAUACUGCGUAGCUUGAGUCUCGGAGAGGUUGGUGGAAUUCUCGGUGUAGAGGUGAAAUUCGUAGAUAUCGAGAGGAACACCGGUGGCGAAGGCGGCCAACUGGACGAAGACUGACGCUGAGGCACGAAGGUCAGGGGAGCAAACGGG
rnacentral:rRNA from 1 species